rnacentral:rRNA from 1 species
UACGGAGGGUGCAAGCGUUAAUCGGAAUUACUGGGCGUAAAGCGUGCGCAGGCGGUUUGUUAAGUCUGUUGUGAAAUCCCCGAGCUCAACUUGGGAAUUGCAAUGGAUACUGGCAGGCUGGAGUAUGGUAGAGGAAGGUGGAAUUCCCGGUGUAGCAGUGAAAUGUGUUGAGAUCGGGAGGAACGCCGGUGGCGAAAGCGACAGACUGGGGCUUGGCCGACGCUCAUGCACGAAAGCCAGGGGAGCGAACGGG